rnacentral:sRNA from 1 species
AGAUGAGGGAAAGUACGUUUGCCGAGGGGAAAACGUCUUUGGUUCUGCUGAAAUUAUAGCUUCGCUAUCUGUAAAAGAACCUACAAGGAUAGAACUUACUCCUAAAAGAACAGAAUUGACAGUGGGAGAAAGCAUUGUCCUUAAUUGCAAAGCAAUUCACGAUGCUAGUUUGGAUGUCACUUUCUACUGGACUCUGAAAGGACAGCCUAUUGAUUUCGAGGAAGAGGGUGGACAUUUUGAAAGCAUCAGGGCCGACCCCCAGGCCCACCUGGGAUAGUAAUUGUUGAGGAAAUAACCGAAAGUUCGGCCACACUGUCCUGGAGUCCAGCAGCUGACAACCACAGCCCAAUCUCCUCCUACAACCUUCAAGCUCGCAGCCCAUUUUCCCUGGGCUGGCAAACAGUAAAGACAGUCCCAGAAAUCAUAACAGGGGACAUGGAGUCAGCCAUGGCUGUGGACCUAAAUCCCUGGGUGGAAUAUGAAUUUCGAGUGGUAGCCACCAACCCUAUUGGGACAGGAGAUCCAAGCACCCCAUCUCGAAUGAUCCGCACAAAUGAAGCAGUUCCGAAGACAGCACCCACCAAUGUAAGCGGAAGAAGUGGAAGAAGGCAUGAGUUAGUCAUUGCCUGGGAGCCAGUAUCUGAAGAGUUUCAGAAUGGGGAAGGCUUUGGCUAUAUUGUGGCUUUCAGACCCAAUGGAACACGUGGCUGGAAGGAAAAAAUGGUGACAUCCUCUGAAGCUUCCAAAUUCAUUUAUCGAGAUGAAAGUGUCCCUCCUCUUACUCCCUUUGAAGUGAAAGUUGGCGUUUAUAACAAUAAAGGAGAUGGGCCUUUUAGUCAAAUUGUGGUCAUCUGUUCAGCUGAAGGAGAACCCAGUGCUGCUCCCACAGAUGUCAAGGCGACAAGUGUGUCUGUGUCAGAGAUUCUUGUUGCAUGGAAACACAUUAAAGAGAGUCUAGGAAGACCACAGGGAUUUGAGGUUGGUUACUGGAAAGACAUGGAACAGGAAGAUACAGCAGAAACAGUCAAAACUAGAGGGAAUGAGUCUUUCGUCAUCCUAACAGGAUUAGAAGGAAAUACGUUAUAUCACUUCACAGUGAGGGCUUACAAUGGAGCUGGAUAUGGGCCACCUAGCAGUGAAGUGAGUGCAACCACCAAGAAAUCCCCCCCUAGUCAAGCACCUAGCAACCUCAGGUGGGAGCAGCAAGGCUCUCAGGUUUCUCUGGGCUGGGAACCCGUCAUACCAUUAGCCAAUGAAUCUGAAGUUGUGGGUUACAAGGUUUUUUAUAGGCAAGAGGGUCACAGCAACAGCCAAGUUAUUGAAACACAGAAACUUCAAGCAGUAGUACCACUCCCAGAUGCUGGAGUCUAUAUUAUUGAAGUUCGAGCAUAUAGUGAAGGAGGAGAUGGAACAGCUAGUUCUCAAAUUAGGGUACCAUCAUAUUCAGGUGGAAAAAUCACAAGUGCACAGUCGACCCUUCACACUCUCUCCACAUCUUCGUCAUCAGUCACCUUGCUCUUGGCAUUGAUGAUUCCUUCAACUUCCUGGUGAAAACUGCUGACUUAAUUUGCUUUUGUUUGCUUUUGCUUGGUAACAGCGGUGAAUAGAGUGUAGUGUAAG